rnacentral:rRNA from 1 species
CAGUCGCCGCGGUAAUACGUAGGUGGCAAGCGUUGUCCGGAAUUAUUGGGCGUAAAGGGCUCGCAGGCGGUUUCUUAAGUCUGAUGUGAAAGCCCCCGGCUCAACCGGGGAGGGUCAUUGGAAACUGGGAAACUUGAGUGCAGAAGAGGAGAGUGGAAUUCCACGUGUAGCGGUGAAAUGCGUAGAGAUGUGGAGGAACACCAGUGGCGAAGGCGACUCACUGGUCUGUAACUGACGCUGAGGAGCGAAAGCGUGGGGAGCGAACAGGAUUAGAUACCCCAGUAGUCCCUGUCUCUUAUAA